UCCCCAGACUCCUACGGGAGGCAGCAGUGGGGAAUAUUGCACAAUGGGGGAAACCCUGAUGCAGCGACGCCGCGUGAGUGAAGAAGUAUCUCGGUACGUAAAGCUCUAUCAGCAGGGAAGAUAAUGACGGUACCUGAGUAAGAAGCCCCGGCUAACUACGUGCCAGCAGCCGCGGUAAUACGUAGGGGGCAAGCGUUAUCCGGAUUUACUGGGUGUAAAGGGGGCGUAGACGGCAUGGCAAGUCUGAAGUGAAAGCCCGGGGCUCAACCGCGGGACUGCUUUGGAAACUGUUAAGCUGGAGUGCAGGAGAGGUAAGUGGAAUUCCUAGUGUAGCGGUGAAAUGCGUAGAUAUUAGGAGGAACACCAGUGGCGAAGGCGGCUUACUGGACAGUAACUGACGUUGAGGCUCGAAAGCGUGGGGAGCAAACAGGAUUAGAUACCCGUGUAA
rnacentral:rRNA from 1 species